ACUGCAGAAAAAAAAAAUUUCAGUUAUUUUUUUCAAUAUUUAUUUUUUUAGAUAUGUAUAAUUUUAUGAGUAUAUAAAAAUAUAUAGUAAUACAUGAAGUAGAAAAUAUACUCUCACAAAUCAGAUAUAAUAUUUCGCACUAAUUUUAUAUAAAGCACAUUCAUUUCAAAAAUUUUACAAUAUUAAAUAAAAUUAAAAUUAUAUUAAUUUUUUAUUAAUUAUAGAUUGUAUUUAUUAGAUGAAAUUUUAAUUUUGUUAUAUUGACUAUUAAAAAAUAGGAUUAGUCCAUGCGAUAAUUAUUUUUUAAA
rnacentral:lncRNA from 1 species